CAGUCGCCGCGGUAAUACGUAGGGUCCGAGCGUUGUCCGGAAUUAUUGGGCGUAAAGGGCUCGUAGGCGGUUUGUCGCGUCGGGAGUGAAAACCAGCAGCUUAACUGCUGGCCUGCUUUCGAUACGGGCAGACUUGAGGCAUUCAGGGGAGAACGGAAUUCCUGGUGUAGCGGUGAAAUGCGCAGAUAUCAGGAGGAACACCGGUGGCGAAGGCGGUUCUCUGGGAAUGUUCUGACGCUGAGGAGCGAAAGUGUGGGGAGCGAACAGGAUUAGAUACCCCGGUAGUCUCUGUCUCUUAUAC
rnacentral:rRNA from 1 species